GAUCCUGGCUCAGAAUCAACGCUGGCGGCGUGCCUAACACAUGCAAGUCGCACGAGAAAGUGGAGCAAUCCAUGAGUAAAGUGGCGCACGGGUGAGUAACACGUGAAUCAUCUACCUUCGAGUGGGGAAUAACUGGGAGAAAUCUCAGCUAAUACCGCAUAAUACCUACGGGUUAAAGCAGUAAUGCGCUUGAAGAGGAGUUCGCGGCAGAUUAGUUAGUUGGCGGGGUAAUGGCCCACCAAGACGAUGAUCUGUAUCCGGCCUGAGAGGGCGCACGGACACACUGGAACUGAAACACGGUCCAGACUCCUACGGGAGGCAGCAGUGGGGAAUUUUGCGCAAUGGGGGAAACCCUGACGCAGCAACGCCGCGUGGAGGAUGAAAUCCCUUGGGAU
rnacentral:rRNA from 1 species